rnacentral:rRNA from 2 species
AGCGGCGGACGGCUGAGUAACACGUGGGUAACCUGCCCAUAAGACUGGGAUAACUCCGGGAAACCGGGGCUAAUACCGGAUAACAUUUUGAACUGCAUGGUUCGAAAUUGAAAGGCGGCUUCGGCUGUCACUUAUGGAUGGACCCGCGUCGCAUUAGCUAGUUGGUGAGGUAACGGCUCACCAAGGCAACGAUGCGUAGCCGACCUGAGAGGGUGAUCGGCCACACUGGGACUGAGACACGGCCCAGACUCCUACGGGAGGCAGCAGUAGGGAAUCUUCCGCAAUGGACGAAAGUCUGACGGAGCAACGCCGCGUGAGUGAUGAAGGCUUUCGGGUCGUAAAACUCUGUUGUUAGGGAAGAACAAGUGCUAGUUGAAUAAGCUGGCACCUUGACGGUACCUAACCAGAAAGCCACGGCUAACUACGUGCCAGCAGCCGCGGUAAUACGUAGGUGGCAAGCGUUAUCCGGAAUUAUUGGGCGUAAAGCGCGCGCAGGUGGUUUCUUAAGUCUGAUGUGAAAGCCCACGGCUCAACCGUGGAGGGUCAUUGGAAACUGGGAGACUUGAGUGCAGAA